rnacentral:misc_RNA from 1 species
UCCGAGUUGACCCCGGCAGUCUCCCAUGAGUCCCCGCCAUUACGCGCUGGCAACAUGGAACGAGGGUUGCGCUCGUUGCGGGACUUAACCCAACAUCUCACGACACGAGCUGACGACAGCCAGGCAGCACCUGUGUUACGGUUCCCUUUCGGGCACACCUCCAUCUCUGGAGGCUUCCGUACAUGUCAAGGGUAGGUAGGGUUUUUCGCGUUGCAUCGAAUUAAUCCACAUAAUCCACCGCUUGUGCGGGUCCCCGUCAAUUCCUUUGAGUUUUAGCCUUGCGGCCGUACUCCCCAGGCGGGGAACUUAAUGCGUUAGCUUCGGCACGGAUGGAGUCGACACCACCCACACCUAGUUCCCAUCGUUUACGGCGUGGACUAC